rnacentral:rRNA from 1 species
AGUGAACGCUGGCGGUAGGCCUAACACAUGCAAGUCGAACGGCAGCACAGUAAGAGCUUGCUCUUACGGGUGGCGAGUGGCGGACGGGUGAGGAAUACAUCGGAAUCUACUUUUUCGUGGGGGAUAACGUAGGGAAACUUACGCUAAUACCGCAUACGACCUACGGGUGAAAGCAGGGGAUCUUCGGACCUUGCGCGAUUGAAUGAGCCGAUUUCGGAUUAGCUAGUUGGCGGGGUAAAGGCCCACCAAGGCGACGAUCCGUAGCUGGUCUGAGAGGAUGAUCAGCAACACUGGAACUGAGACACGGUCAAGACUCCUACGGGAGGCAGCAGUGGGGAAUAUUGGACAAUGGGCGCAAGCCUGAUCCAGCCAUACCGCGUGGGUGAAGAAGGCCUUCGGGUUGUAAAGCCCUUUUGUUGGGAAAGAAAAGCAGCAGGUUAAUACCCCGCUGUUCUGACGGUACCCAAAGAAUAAGCACCGGCUAACUUCGUG